ACAGAGCUUUAGCUUUGCUCUCUUGGGUAGACGAUUUUUGCUUCUUGUAUUAUGUCUUUCGGCAAAGCUUCGGGCUGGAUUUUAAAUAGCAAAGGUGAUGAAAUUGUACAGAGUGAAGGGAGCUCUUGUUGGUGAGAUUGUAGCCUUUUUACAGCGUGAACCCAGGGAGUAGGUGGAAUCUGCGAAGCUGUUCUUCUAUAGGUCAUUUUGAACUUCAUUCAGGGUCAUGAGCAGAACCUGUGAAGGGAUGAAGGAACUCAUCUCUUGACUCCGUUUGGUACAUGCUGAAAAGGUCAAACUUGUAAAUUUGAGACUUUUCAAGAAUGUGGAGCCUGCUCAAGCAGCCCUUCUGCCCCCAUAAUGUUUCAGAAAACAUUUGAAGAAUAAGAAUAGUAUCUGGUGGUUCACAAGGCACGUGGGAACAGGAGGAGGAGAGAAGCGAGAUUUCUUUUCUUCUGGAUGUUAAUUUAGAAAUGAAUUACUUGAGCUGUUCACUUCGGUCAAAAACAAUAGAGCUUCUCAUAUGUGGCAGCUUCCAAGUGCAGAAUUCCAAAAAGCUGAAAUUGUCUUCAAUCCUCCCAACAUUGGCACAGACUAUAAGGAAUUGAGAAUGCCAAUAAUUCUAGGGAAACAGAUGGACAUUUUAAAUCACAAACAUUUACGCACAACCCAAAAGCUGCAGUUUGGGACAAAAUAUGGAAAUAGAUCUUGGCCCUUCUUUGUGUCCUUCUAUCUUAAUGAGGGAACCUGCCAAGACCAUGGGAGAAGGGAGGGAGAAAGGAUCCUUUAGGUUGAAAGAUGAAAAAAAACUGGCAGAAAUGGGUCACCUGCGAAAUGAAAAGUUUCAGUGUUUUCAAGGUUUGCAAAAUGGAUCUCAGUUGACACAGCCCUCAUUUUGACUGUGUAAGAUGUCAUAAAAUUACUUCUGAACCACCUAUAGAGUGUUUUUGUUUGAAAGGGGAUGGUGAGAUCAUUUCCCAAGCAAUACACACAAGAAUGUUAGAACUGAAGGGCACUUUAUCAAAAUUUAAUCCAACAGCCUAAAAAUUCAAAGCAGCAAAUAGGACAAUGUGAUUGACAGAUAUUAAGGAAUAGAAAAGAAAGUGGAGACCUGGAAGUCAAGAGAAGAUUUAAAAACAAGUCAUCCUGGAUUUAGAAGUCAAACUACCGCACAGUUGCACUCAUCUCACACGCUAGCAAAGUAAUGCUCAAAAUUCUCCA